rnacentral:misc_RNA from 1 species
AAAGUCGUAACAAGGUUUCCGUAGGUGAACCUGCGGAAGGAUCAUUAACAAUGUGAGAUGGGCCGUGGGGGGCAUUGCCCUCCGCUGCGCACUCCCGUUACACCCUGGCCACUCCCUUGCGGAGUCGGUUUCAUGUGUUCCACCCCCUGUGAAACUCUUCUAUAUGCUUCGGCAGCACCUUUCGGGGGUAAGGCUGCCAGAAGCCCAUAUCAAAAUCAGUUGAUGAAAUACAAUGUCUGACUACUAUUUUGAGAAAUCAAAUCAUAUUAAAACUUUCAGCAACGGAUCUCUUGGUUCUC